CUACAUACUUCUCCGGCGAGUCCG
rnacentral:siRNA from 1 species